CCGAUAGAAAGGGAUAUGAAAAUCUGUCCCGUGCCGCAAGGCAUCCAAGUGUCGAAAUAAAAUAAC
rfam:Prevotella melaninogenica ATCC 25845 chromosome I, complete sequence.